GCGAGGAGCUUCCUUCUCGACAUGACUUGCAUAAUAAUAAUUUUCUUAUGUUUGUUUCAUUCAUUCAUUCAUAUGCAUACCGUUCUUCUUCAUUUUCGUCUCCCCCGUCUGCUGUUGCGCAGCGCGUGCUCACGUUUCAGUCAGCGUCUC
ensembl:ncRNA B0457.9 ncRNA